rnacentral:rRNA from 1 species
UACGAAGGGGGCUAGCGUUGCUCGGAAUCACUGGGCGUAAAGCGCACGUAGGCGGCUUUUUAAGUCAGAGGUGAAAUCCUGGAGCUCAACUCCAGAACUGCCUUUGAUACUGGAGAGCUGAGUCCGGGAGAGGUGAGUGGAACUGCGAGUGUAGAGGUGAAAUUCGUAGAUAUUCGCAAGAACACCAGUGGCGAAGGCGGACUCACCUGGCCCGGUACUGGACGCUGAGGUGCGAAAGCGUGGGAGC